rnacentral:Y_RNA from 1 species
GGCUGUUCUGAAGGUAGUGACUUAUCUCAAUUGAUCGUUCCUAGUCAGUUUUACAGACUGAACUCCUUGUUUUUCUCUUCCUUCCCUUCUCACUGCUGCAAGACUUGACCAGUCUUUU